rnacentral:rRNA from 1 species
AGCGAACGUUAGCGGCGCGCCUAACACAUGCAAGUCGCACGAGAAAGGGAGCAAUCCCCGGUACAGUGGCGCACGGGUGAGUAACACGUAGAUGACCUUCCCUGGAGUGGUGGAUAACCUGCCGAAAGGCGGGCUAAUACAGCAUGGGACCACAUGGUUUUGACCGAGUGGUGAAAGUGGGCCUCUGUUCACAAGCUCGCGCUCUGGGAUGGGUCUGCGUCCCAUCAGCUAGUUGGUGAGGUAAUGGCUCACCAAGGCAUCGACGGGUAGCUGGUCUGAGAGGAUGACCAGCCACACUGGAACUGAGACACGGUCCAGACUCCUACGGGAGGCAGCAGUGGGGAAUCUUGCGCAAUGGGCGAAAGCCUGACGCAGCGACGCCGCGUGGGUGAUGAAGGCC